AAAACAUAAAACUGACUCGAGGAAGAGUUCAGAAAUCAAUAUUUGGUGGAAUAACCAGCAGGUUUUCACUGGGGUUCAGUGCAGUGGAGUCUCUUAAUGUUCUCCAGAGCUGCAUGUACAUACAAACCCUCUGAACUAAACCAGGCUGAUGCUACACUGACUCAUGAAAACCUCUUCCGUUGUGCAGCCUCUGCUCUUGUUCCCAAUCCUUAGCUUCCUGUUGCCAUUUCACACUUGUGAGUUGGCUGUCAAGGGCCAUCAGUGCGCCCUGGCAGCCCUGCUGUCACUCUGCCAGACGUGUCUACAUCGCCGUCCAACAGCCUACUCUGGGACAUUUGCAUAAGCAUUUCCGCAAACUUUGAAAACUUGCGGCUGUUUAUUAAAGCCGCGUCUUCGGGAGACAAAUUUCUUUCUUGCUGUGUUUCGUCAAAUGCUAAACGUCAAGCAAAUGAAAUCUAGAACUAUCUAAAACCUUUAAAGCAACAUUUGUAUUAAAUAUGCAUGCAAUGUUGCGAGUACUUCAACUCACAGACACACCUAUACACCAUAAUUAAUCCUGGCAAUGCUUUUACAGUAAUGACACUUUUCUGUUCUGCCUGGUUCUCUCAACUUUUGCUCCAAACUGAAUAAUGCACACAUGUCCAACUUUGUAUCUCCUGCUAUAGCAACGUGCGAUAGCGAUAAAGGUUGUAUGUUUGACUGCACCAGUCGUUCUGUGCGA